rnacentral:rRNA from 1 species
AUUGAACGCUGGCGGCACGCCUAACACAUGCAAGUCGAGCGGUAGCAUGAGUAGUAGCAAUACUACUUGAUGACGAGCGGCGGACGGGUGAGGAACACGUAGGAACUUGCCUUUUAGAGGGGGAUAACUAAGGGAAACUUUAGCUAAUACCGCGUAAUCUCGAGAGAGUAAAGCUGCCCGCAAGGGUGGCGCUAAAAGAGAGGCCUGCGUCCGACUAGCUAGUUGGUGAGGUAAUGGCUCACCAAGGCGAUGAUCGGUAACUGGUCUGAGAGGACGACCAGUCACACUGGGACUGAGACACGGCCCAGACUCCUACGGGAGGCAGCAGUGGGGAAUAUUGGACAAUGGGGGCAACCCUGAUCCAGCGAUGCCGCGUGAGUGAAGAAGGCCCUCGGGUCGUAAAGCUCUUUAGGUUGGGAAGAAGGACGUUAGGUUAAUACCCUGAUGUUUUGACGGUACCGACAGAAUAAGCACCGGCAAACUCUGUGCCAGCCGCCGCCGUAA